AAUGAACGCUGGCGGCGGGCCUAAUACAUGCAAGUCGAGCGAACGGACGAGAAGCUUGCUUCGCUGAUGUUAGCGGCGGACGGGUGAGUAACACGUGGAUAACCGACCGAUAAGACUGGGAUAACUUCGGGGAACCGGAUCUAGUACCGGAUAAUAGUUUGAACCGCAUGGUUCAAAAGUGAAAGACGGUCUUGCUGUCACUUAUAGAUGGAUCCGCGCUGCAUUAGCUAGUUGGUAAGGUAACGGCUUACCAAGGCAACGAUGCAUAGCCGACCUGAGAGGGUGAUCGGCCACACUGGAACUGAGACACGGUCCAGACUCCUACGGGAGGCAGCAGUAGGGAAUCUUCCGCAAUGGGCGAAAGCCUGACGGAGCAACGCCGCGUGAGUGAUGAAGGUCUUCGGAUCGUAAAACUCUGUUAUUAGGGAAGAACAUAUGUGUAAGUAACUGUGCACAUCUUGACGGUACCUAAUCAGAAAGCCACGGCUAACUACGUG
rnacentral:rRNA from 1 species